rnacentral:rRNA from 1 species
UACGGGGGGGGCAAGCGUUGUUCGGAAUUACUGGGCGUAAAGGGCUCGUAGGUGGCCAACUAAGUCAGACGUGAAAUCCCUCGGCUUAACCGGGGAACUGCGUCCGAUACUGGAUGGCUUGGAUUUGGGAGAGGGAUGCGGAAUUCCAGGUGUAGCGGUGAAAUGCGUAGAUAUCAGGAGGAACACCGGUGGUGUAGACGGCUUUCUGGACCGUAACUGACGCUGAAACACGAAAGCGUGGGUAGCAAACAGG